rnacentral:tRNA from 1 species
GGAGAGGUGGCCGAGUGGCCGAAGGCGCAGGUUUGCUAAACCUGUAUCUGGGAAUACCGGAUCGAGGGUUCGAAUCCCUCCCUCUCCG